GUCCCAGUAAUUUAAUAAAAAUAUUGGUCUUGUAAACCAAAAACGAAAGUACAACACUUUCCUAGGACA
rnacentral:tRNA from 1 species